ACGGCUCAGUAACACGUAGUCAACAUGCCCAGAGGACGUGGAUAACCUCGGGAAACUGAGUCUAAACCGCGAUAAGUGAGGAUUUCUGGAAUGGUUCCUGACUAAAAUCUAUAUGGCCUCUGGAUUGGACUGCGGCCGAUCAGGCUGUUGGUGAGGUAAUGGCCCACCAAACCUGUAACCGGUACGGGCUCUGAGAGGAGGAGCCCGGAGAUGGGCACUGAGACAAGGGCCCAGGCCCUAUGGGGCGCAGCAGGCGCGAAACCUCUGCAAUAGGCGAAAGCCUGACAGGGUUACUCUGAGUGACUUUCGCCAAGAAAGUCUUUUGGCACCUCUAAAAAGGGUGCAGAAUAGGGGUGGGCAAGUCUGGUGUCAGCCGCGCGGUAAUCCAAGACCCCGAGUGGUCGGGACCAUUAUUGGGCCUAAGCAUCCGAAGCCGGUUCUGCAAGUCCCCCGUUAAAUCCAGCUUGCUCAACAGAUGGGCCGCGGAGGAUACUACAGAGCUAGGAGGCAGGAGAGGCAAGCGGUACUCAGUGGGUAGGGGUAAAAUCCGUUGAUCCAUUGAAGACCACCAGUGGCGAAGGCGGCUUGCCAGAAUGCGCCCGACGGUGAGGGAUGAAAGCUGGGGGAGCAAACCGGAUUAGAUACCCGGGUAGUCCCAGCCGUAAACGAUGCAGACUCGGUGAUGGGUUGGCUUCGCUGCUAACCCAGUGCCGCAGGGAAGCCGUUAAGUCUGCCGCCUGGGUAGUACGGUCGCAAGACUGAAACUUAAAGGAAUUGGCGGGGGAGCAC
rnacentral:rRNA from 1 species